GCAGGGACAAUAUCUGAAUUACCUGGUUAGAGGUACUUCUAACAAAAUAUUCAUUUGGAGAAGAAGUAAUUGCUCUAAGAAUAUAUGAAGAUAAUUAUAUAAUUAAAAAUAUGAAAGAAAAUUCAAAGAAGAUCCACAAGAAUUGAUUCCUCUUACACUUGCUACUUUUCUUAUCAGAAACCAUUUUUCCUGUGUUAGGAAUAUUGAUGAAUUGGAUUCCCCAAAACUGAAUAAAAAAUUAAGAUACAGAAGAAAACUUUUUAAUAAUUUAAGAAAACACUUUAGGGAAGAAUGUCUCAAUGAGCUUAUUCAUAAAUGCAAUGAUGUUGUGAACCAAAAAUUGGUAAAAUAUUUUUAAUUGCUGCGGAUAAUAAAAAGCAUUUAUUUUGGCCCAUAGCAAAGAUUACUGAACUGAUUCCUGAUCAGGAUGGAAUGUUUGCAUGGUUAGGCUUAAAACUUAACACGGAAGAGCUGUGACCAGUGUAGUAGGUCUUCGCUUUAGAUCUACAAGUUAAUGGAACAGUGUUAACUGAAAAUAAUUCACAGACAGCUUUUGGAUUUAAAACUAUUUUUGUCUUCUGAUGAUGUAAUAAUGGAAAGAUAUACCUUUUUUCUAGCUAUGUGAAAGUGCCUAAAAGACUGGUUUCAUUCAACUGCACUUGUUAUGAGUUUGAGACACCCCAAGUCUCAGUUGUGGAAGGAUGUUGCGAACUGAUGCUGAGGGAAAGGGAUGUCAGCUUCUAGAAUGUAUGAAAAUCAGAGUUAGUUUUUAGUUAGGAAUGUGAAUAAACAUUUGGUUAUUGUGUCUUGGUAUGUGUUUCCUGUACACCAAUAAAAUAUUUUCAUUGUUUUGGAA